GAAGAAGGAAGCCCAGAUUUGGGAAUGGAUGAUGAAGGUGAUGAUGACCCAGUUCCUCUACCAAAUGUUGAUGCAGCAAUAUUACAAAAGCUCAUUCAGUG